UAAAAGAAGCUAGCUACCGACCAGGUAAUAAAACACAAUGAGUCAUGCGAGGGCCAUAAAAGAAUUUUUGAACAUUCCAACUGCAAGCAGAAAUGUGGGAACAACUGGCUACUCCAACUUGACGGACUCUCAGAUUUUCCUUGGGUCCCAGUUUUGGCUUGAGAAUUCCCAAGGCACCUCUCAGGAUGUGAGUUUGUCAUCCAGAAACUCCCAACAAAGUUCACAAGAGGUGGGUA